rnacentral:rRNA from 1 species
UACGGGGGGGGCAAGCGUUGUUCGGAAUUACUGGGCGUAAAGGGCUCGUAGGCGGCCAACUAAGUCGGACGUGAAAUCCCUCGGCUUAACCGGGGAACUGCGUCCGAUACUGGAUGGCUUGAGUAUGGGAGAGGGAUGCGGAAUUCCAGGUGUAGCGGUGAAAUGCGUAGAUAUCGGGAGGAACACCGGUGGCGAAGGCGGUUCUCUGGGCCUGUACUGACGCUGAGGAGCGAAAGCGUGGGGAGCGAACAGG